UCCAUCUGCUGCUCUGGAGGCCGAAACCAAGAAAUCUGGUAAACUGGGCCUGUUCAGCCCAUAGCUGAUAGAGCGACGCGGAGAGGGAUCGACCAAAGGCGAUGCGGAUACAGAGAAGAGGGAGAGAUCGAGCCAAGGCGAUGUGAGGCGCGGGAUUCAAUCGACCGGAGUUGGAGGCACGCGCUGGGAUCGAGCGGAGGCACCCACCACCCAUCGCCGGGACGUCGGCUUCUCCCUUCCCUCAGGCCCUCCCUGCACCCAUCCACCCAUCCACCCCCGGUGGCUCCAGGAGGGGCAUCACAACCGCAGGCACCGGCGGCGGCAUGCCAUCCACACCGCGCUCGCGCAUCACCGGCGGCCCCUUCAGGUCUGAGCGCAACUUGCCGCCGUCGGCCAGGCCGGGCCUCUCCUUCCACUGGUCCCAAGAUCCGCCGACACCAACCCCGUCGUCCAGCGCCGGGUGCCCAAGAUCAGCAUGCCUCCUCCCAAUGCGAGUUUCACUUGGAAUUUUGUUUUCUGCUGGCUGUAGGAUGAAUGUGAAUUUCGUUUGCCGGAAAUACAUCUAUUUUGUUCGUGUUUUGACAAGCGAUUUUUUCAUUCAGUAAAAUGUCUUUUUUCACAAGAGAUGGAUAAAUAGGCCGAUAUAUACAUGCAAACAGUACAGUUCUGGGAAACUACUACUACUAAUGAAUGUUUAAUAUCAUCUGCACAAGGUUGCUUCAUAGAUCUUUUUUUUUCAGAAUCUUCACACAUCUUUUUGGUCUAAUGUAUACUUGCAGGUUUAUCUAGAUGAAAAUAGUCUUUCAAUAUUAGGCUGAUGCUUCAACUAAGCAUGUCUCUUUUUCAAUCUAUAGCGAAUAUCAUCUGACACUACUUUCCUACUAACAGGUAUUUUCAUAUGGCCGAAAGAAUCAGCCGCUAGAGAUUUAAGAAACUGUUCAACUGCGCAAUUUUUGGUUACGCCUUUUUCAAUUAGUUUUGAACUUUAAAUCCCUGUUGAAUGUAUGUAUAUUAAUGUUUAGUGCACAAAAUUCGAGGGGUUUAACUUUUUCCCUUGCACUUCCUAGCGACCCAGACCAGCGCCAUGGCAACGAGCGUGUCCCUCCUACCCCGACCUUCAACUUGAGGGGCAGAUCCCACCACGACUUGGUGGCGCCGCUGGUGGAACCGGCGUCCCUAAGCGAGCAAUCGUCCAGAUGGCCGUCACACUUCCUCCCAGCAGAGAGGAAGAAAGGAGCUGAUUGCAGGGCACUAAAAUAUUUCUUCGGCCAAAGCUCCGUGAUCGCUUACACAGUUACACACGUAUAUUAUCCAUGUAGUAUGGGUUAUCUGGGAUCAGUUACAACAUGGCACUUGGAUAUUGUUCAUAAAGGUGGCAUAAUUUGUCAAUUUAAUAUACUUCCAUCUCACUGUGUUGAUUUACUCAUGCUAUUUUGAUGACGAUGACAUCAAUGCCAAUUCAUAUCUAUGCAAGGCAUCAGUGCUUGAUGAUA